AUUGAACGCUGGCGGCAUGCCUUACACAUGCAAGUCGAACGGUAACAGGUCUUCGGAUGCUGACGAGUGGCGAACGGGUGAGUAAUACAUCGGAACGUGCCUAGUAGUGGGGGAUAACUACUCGAAAGAGUGGCUAAUACCGCAUGAGAUCCACGGAUGAAAGCAGGGGAUCGCAAGGCCUUGUGCUACUAGAGCGGCCGAUGGCAGAUUAGGUAGUUGGUGGGAUAAAAGCUUACCAAGCCGACGAUCUGUAGCUGGUCUGAGAGGCCGAUCAGCCACACUGGGAGUGACAGACGGCCCAGACGCCGGCGGGAGGCAGCAGUGGGGAAGUUAGCAAAAGGGGCGCAAGCCAGAUCCAGCAAAGCCGCGUGGAGGCUAGAGGCGUUCAGGUUGGAGAUUGCUUUUGUACGGACCGAAAAGCCCCGGGUUAAUACCCUGAGGUCAUGACGGUACCGUAAGAAUAAGCACCGGCUAACUACGUGCCAGCCGCCGCCGUAA
rnacentral:rRNA from 1 species